rfam:Xenopus laevis strain J chromosome 3L, whole genome shotgun sequence.
AAAACGGCCCUUUUGAGGGUCACCCAUCCAUUUCUUGAAAAGGCUGU